CAGGUUGGCCGGGUGAUCGCGGUCAGCGAUCUGGCUACGGUCAGGAAACUGGCUGAGGAAAGUCCGCACUCCACAGAGCACGGCGCCGGCUAACGGCCGGGCGGGGCAACCCGACGGCAAGUGCAACAGAGAGGCGUAUUGCCUGUUUUGGGCACAGCCCGAAGCAGGUGAGGGUGAAACGGUGGUGUAAGAGACCACCGGCAGCGGCAGUAAUGCGGCUGGCCAGGCAAACUCCCGCCGGGAGCAAGACCAAGCAGGGUGGAAGGUGUGCCGGGAUAACUCCUGCGGGAGUUUUCUGCGGCCAUCUACGGGGCGGCUCGUCCCGUCUGACAUCCGGGUAGGUCGCUUGAGGGCGAUAGUAAUAUCGCUCCCAGAUAGAUGAUCACCGGCGUCUGGUCACUGACCGGGCGUUACAGAAUGCGGCUUAUAGGCUGACCUGGAAU
rnacentral:RNase_P_RNA from 2 species